UGGGGGAUAUUGCACAAUGGGCGAAAGCCUGAUGCAGCGACGCCGCGUGGGGGAUGAAGGCCUUCGGGUUGUAAACUUCUUUUGCUCUGAACAAGGCAUGCCUUUGGGUGUGGUUGAUUUGAACUGGUAAAGAAGUACCGGCUAACUACGUGCCAGCAGCCGCGGUAAUACGUAGGGUACUAGCGUUGUCCGGAUUUAUUGGGCGUAAAGGGCUUGUAGGUGGUUUGUCGCGUCUGUCGUGAAAUCCUGUGGCUUAACCAUGGGCUUGCGGUGGGUACGGGCAGGCUUGAGUGCGGUAGGGGAGACUGGAAUUCCUGGUGUAGCGGUGGAAUGCGCAGAUAUCAGGAGGAACACCGGUGGCGAAGGCGGGUCUCUGGGCCGUUACUGACACUGAGGAGCGAAAGCGUGGGGAGCGAACAGG
rnacentral:rRNA from 1 species